GAUGAACGCUAGCGGGAGGCUUAAUACAUGCAAGUCGAACGGUAACAUGAGAGCUUGCUCUUGAUGACGAGUGGCGCACGGGUGAGUAACGCGUACACAAUCUACCUAUUACAGGGGGAUAGCCUCGGGAAACUGAGAAUAAUACCCCAUAGUAUUUCCGAAUCGCAUGAUUUGGUUAUUAAAGUUCCGGCGGUAAUAGAUGAGUGUGCGUGCCAUUAGAUAGUUGGUGAGGUAACGGCUCACCAAGUCUGCGAUGGCUAGGGGGCGUGAGAGCGUGAUCCCCCACACGGGUACUGAGACACGGACCCGACUCCUACGGGAGGCAGCAGUAAGGAAUAUUGGACAAUGGGCGAAAGCCUGAUCCAGCCAUCCCGCGUGAAGGAUGACGGCCCUAUGGGUUGUAAACUUCUUUUAUAUAGGACGAAACGCCUUCAUUUAUGGGGGCCUGACGGUACUAUACGAAUAAGCACCGGCUAAUUCCG
rnacentral:rRNA from 1 species